rnacentral:tRNA from 1 species
GGCGCGGGCGCGCGGAUCGAGCUGCGCGAGCGCCGCCUGCUGCGCCGCGUCGCCGGCGAGCGAAGGCGCAUACACGCGGAUCGUCUCCCAGUCGCGCAA